ACAUGGGAUAGCGCAGCAGGUAGAGGCACGAGGCUCUGAAUCUCUGGGCUGUGGGUUCGAGUCUCACGUUGUGCA